AGGAUUAUAGUUUAUAAAAACUUUUGAUUUGCAUUCAAAAAAUAUUGAAUUUUAAUUCAAUUUAUCUUA
rnacentral:tRNA from 1 species